UAAGUGUGACAAACGUGCAAAAAAAUAAAUAAAUCAGGAAGGGGGCAAACACUUUUUCACACCACUCUUGUGGCCCCAAAGGUGCACAACAUCUAAUACUUGAAAACCAGAAAAACUUGAAAGUCUGAUAUAUUUAGCGGUCCGGACCCAGGUAUACCAAGCAUAGACUGUAUAAAAGAAGUGGACGUAGCCACUGUGACGUCACCCAUUGGUUUGUGGACUACAGUUUUUAAGCCUCGAGUUUGGCAAUUUGGCCUUUGCCAUCUUGUUUUUUUAGAAGCCUGAAGUGCCAUAUUUGAACAAGAGGGUGGAGCUGGGAAUGAGCAGUGCAUUACACUAAUGCAACACACUUCAACUUGGUCACAUGUGCCAGAAACACAAACGUUGUUACAUUGUUAGCUUAAUGUUGGUUAAAUUGCCCUUUUUACUUGUCUAUCACAAAGUAGUUACACCCUAAAGCAUACCCUGCUUUAUCGUCUAUUUUACUCUAAAUGGGACCAUAAUUUACUAAAUGAACAUCUUGGUGUAUUGAAGAAGAUUUGAACCUAGCGAUUGAAACCAUAAACUCAUUAGGAAAGUGUUUACAUUUUCUCAUAGACUUCUAUACAAUCGGACUUCUUUUUGUGGAGUCGUCCUCUGCUGGCCAUUAGAAAGAAUGUAGGUUCAAGGCACUUCCGCACUGGCUUCACUUUUCAGACCCGGAGGCUACGUCCACUUCUUUUAUACAGUCUAUGAUACCAAGGCAACAUGACACUCAAACUUCCCAGCACCUUAACUUUACCCUAUGAACAAACUUUAAGUUUUAAACUUUUAGUUGUAACUGUUAUUACUGGCUGAGAGAAGAUGCUUGUGCAGCUACUGAAAAAAGUAUACAGUGUUACUCUUGUAUUAUGUAAAGAGUGUUUCCAACCCCAACCCUCAACCCGCCUUUCAGACAGACAGAUCGUCUAAUGCCAUACUGACAUGAGAGCCCCACCUACCAACAUGGAACAGAUAAGAUGAGACACAGGGUUCCAUGAGUGGAAAGAGAAACCAGCAAGACAGACAAAGAGAGAAGGAGAGAGGACAAGGCAGUGGUUGUCAGUUACCACAGGUGUCACCAAAUCAACCAGAGAGAGCAAUGAAGUAGCUUAGCACUGAGCGGCUAACUCUGAGGAGAACAGAAGGAGCGACCGGUUCCUCCAUCUGCACAAUCAGAACAUGGCACAGCAAAAGACUGCAAUCGGAACCACAAUUCUUCCCCGCCUGACCCAUCCACAACGGACUUGCCAGCUAACAAGGAGCACGCCAAAGCAACUUCUUCCUUUGAGGACUAGUAACAUACCUGGGCAUUAUAUAGCUUCACAUAGCUAUAUAAUGUAGACUAGUAUACCUGGCUAAGCACAAGACUGCUUAGCUUUUGUCAAUGUACAUGUAUUGAUUUGUUGAGGUUUUAUUGUUGUGAUCUUCUCCAUGGUUAACGUGAGGUUAUUAUUGUAACCGUAGAUCUCAGCCACCGCUAAGUUGAUGUUAGUAAUGUUAUUCUCCACACAGACACAGAGUCUGUGCAUGCUAAGUAACUCCUUUUAACUUGGCACCAUUACCCGAUACAAAUCGCACACAUACACCUCUAGUUUGGCCUUAAACAUAACCACACAUGAGACAACUUAAAGUUCCUGCUUCACUGUGCUUUCCUUUGUCUGCAACAUGUGUCCAUGCCCGUGCACGCUUUCUUUCCCGACACACAUUCUUUCUGGCACACACCUGACACGCACACACCCUUUUGUUCUUUAGUUAAGUGCAUUUUAGUUAGGUUUCAUCUUGUGUGUUUUGCUUUUGUUUAUCUUUUAAAUAAAUGCUUGUGGAUAUA